rnacentral:rRNA from 1 species
AUUGAACGCUGGCGGCAUGCCUUACACAUGCAAGUCGAACUGUAACAGGUCUUCGGAUGCUGACGAGUGGCGAACGGGUGAGUAAUACAUCGGAACGUGCCCGAUCGUGGGGGAUAACGGAGCGAAAGCUUUGCUAAUACCGCAUACGAUCUACGGAUGAAAGCAGGGGACCGCAAGGCCUUGCGCGGACGGAGCGGCCGAUGGCAGAUUAGGUAGUUGGUGGGAUAAAAGCUUACCAAGCCGACGAUCUGUAGCUGGUCUGAGAGGACGACCAGCCACACUGGGACUGAGACACGGCCCAGACUCCUACGGGAGGCAGCAGUGGGGAAUUUUGGACAAUGGGCGAAAGCCUGAUCCAGCCAUGCCGCGUGCAGGAUGAAGGCCUUCGGGUUGUAAACUGCUUUUGUACGGAACGAAAAGACUCUUUCUAAUAAAGAGGGUCCAUGACGGUACCGUAAGAAUAAGCACCGGCUAACUACGUG